rnacentral:rRNA from 1 species
ACUAAAUAGAUACCCUGGUAGUCCUGACAGUAAACGGUGCACGCUUGGUGUGGGGGUGACCCCUUCCGUGCCGAAAGCUAAACGCGAUAAAGCGUGCCGCCUGGGAAGUACGAUCGCAAGAUUAAAACUCAAAGAAAUUGACGGGGACCCGCACAAGCGGUGGAGUAUGUGGCUUAAUUCGAUGCAACGCGAAGAACCUUACCUGGCCUUGACAUGCAUUGUGUCUCCGGUGAAAGCCGGAUAGCGUAGCAAUACGCGCUUUGCACAGGUGCUGCAUGGCUGUCGUCAGCUCGUGUCGUGAGAUGUUGGGUUUAAGUCCCGCAACGAGCGCAACCCCUGUAGUCCGUUGCCACCGGGUUCAUUCCGAGCACUUGGACUAGACUGCCCAGAUCAACUGGGAGGAAGGUGGGGAUGACGUCAAGUCCGUAUGGCCCUUACGGCCAGGGCUGCACACGUACUACAAUGCCCAGCACAAAAUGAACCGAGACCGCGAGGUGGAGG